GCCAGUCAGGAUGGUGGUGCCUUCGCUGAAGCUUCAGGACCUCAUCGAAGAGAUUCGCGGGGCCAAGACUCAGGCCCAGGAGCGGGAGGUGAUCCAAAAGGAGUGUGCCCACAUCCGGGCCUCCUUCCGCGACGGGGACCCAGUGCACAGGCACCGGCAGCUGGCCAAACUGCUCUACGUCCACAUGUUGGGCUACCCCGCCCACUUUGGACAGUGACCUGAGCCAGGGGAUUCAGCCAGUACAAGGCCUGGCCUUGUGCACUUUGAGCACCAUGGGCUCUGCUGAGAUGUGCCGAGACCUGGCCCCAGAAGUGGAGAAACUGCUCCUGCAGCCCAGUCCCUACGUGCGCAAGAAGGCUAUUCUGACUGCAGUGCACAUGAUCCGGAAGGUCCCUGAACUCUCCAGUGUCUUCCUCCCACCCUGUGCUCAACUGCUUCAUGAGCGUCACCAUGGUGGUACCCCAGCUGGUACAGAUCCUCCGGACUCUGGUGACAACGGGAUACUCCACAGAACACAGCAUAUCUGGAGUCAGCGACCCCUUCCUGCAGGUCCAGAUACUUCGUCUGCUUCGGAUCCUGGGCCGGAACCAUGAGGACAGCAGUGAGACCAUGAAUGACUUGCUGGCCCAGGUGGCCACUAACACAGACACCAGCCGAAAUGCUGGAAAUGCGGUCCUGUUUGAGACAGUACUCACCAUCAUGGACAUCCGCUCUGCAGCUGGCCUACGGGUUCUAGCUGUCAACAUUCUUGGCCGCUUCCUACUCAACAGUGACAGGAACAUUAGGACAGGACGGGGAGUGGGGGCUGAUGGCCAUGGUAUGAUAGAACCUCCCCCAUCCUGACCAGGUAUGUAGCCCUGACAUCACUGCUUCGACUGGUGCAGUCUGAUCACAGUGCUGUGCAGCGGCAUCGGCCCACUGUGGUGGAAUGUCUACGGGAAACUGAUGCCUCCCUCAGCCGGUGAGCAGUGAUAGAGGGGACAGGACAGCAGGGCAGAGGUUCCCAGUGCCUUGUGGCCAAGACUUGAGCCAGCUUAGAGCAGCUGGAGUAAGGGGACUGAGGGGGACAGGUCCCUGGGGAAGCAGAGGGCCUGAGGCAUGGACCAGGAUGACCUGGGCUACCUACAUGGAAACCUCUUUCUCCUGCCAGGAGAGCCCUGGAACUGAGCCUGGCUCUGGUAAAUAGCUCCAACGUGCGAGCCAUGAUGCAAGAGCUGCAGGCCUUUCUGGAGUCCUGCCCUCCUGACCUACGGGCUGACUGUGCCUCAGGCAUCCUGCUGGCUGCAGAGAGGUGAGGUGCCCAGGAGUCAAAGAGGGUAGAAUCUGGGGAGGGUCAGUACCAGGACUGAUGAGCCAUAUAUCCCCUAGGUUUGCUCCAACCAAACGCUGGCACAUAGACACCAUCCUGCAUGUGCUGACAACGGCGGGCACCCACGUGCGGGAUGAUGCAGUGGCCAACCUGACCCAGCUGAUUGGGGGGGCCCAGGAGCUACAUGCCUACUCUGUGCGCCGCCUCUACAAUGCCCUGGCAGAAAACAUUUCCCAGCAACCACUGGUGCAGGUGGCAGCCUGGUGCAUUGGGGAGUAUGGGGACCUCCUGCUGGCGGGGAACUGCGAGGAGAUUGAGCCCCUUCAGGUGGACGAAGAGGAAGUGCUGGCAUUGCUGGAAAAGGUGCUGCAGUCCCAUAUGUCCCUGCCAGCCACUCGAGGAUAUGCCCUCACGGCCCUCAUGAAGCUCAGCACUCGCCUCUGUGGGGACAACAACCGCAUCCGCCAGGUGGUGUCCAUCUACGGGAGCUGCUUGGACGUGGAGCUGCAGCAGCGGGCUGUGGAGUAUGACACACUCUUCCGGAAAUACGACCACAUGAGGGCUGCCAUCCUGGAAAAAAUGCCUCUUGUGGAGCGAGAUGGCCCUCAGGCUGAUGAGGAAGCAAAGGAAAGCAAAGAAGCAGCCCAGCUUUCAGAAGCAGCUCCAGUGCCCACAGAGCCCCAGGUGAGAAGGCUAGAAACUCUGGGGUAGGAAGACAGGCUGAGCUUCAUACCCAGCCCUGCCCCUUCUGUCCCUUCUGCCAGGCCUCACAGCUCCUGGAUCUGCUAGAUCUCCUGGAUGGGACUUCUGGGGAUGUCCAGCAUCCUCCCCCUCUGGACCCAUCCCCAGGAGGUGCCCUGGUACACCUGCUUGACCUUCCCUGUGCACCUCCAUCCCCAGCUCCCAUCCCAGAUCUCAAAGUGUUUGAGCGUGAGGGAGUACAGCUGAAUCUGUCUUUCAUUCGACCCCCUGAAAACCCUGCUUUGCUGUUAAUCACCGUCACUGCCACCAACUUCUCAGAGGGUGAUGUCACCCAUUUCAUCUGCCAGGCUGCUGUGCCCAAGAGUCUCCAGCUGCAGCUGCAGGCCCCCAGUGGGAACACAGUUCCAGCUCGGGGUGGCCUUCCUAUCACCCAGCUCUUCAGAAUCCUCAAUCCUAACAAGGCCCCCCUACGACUAAAGCUGCGCCUCACCUACAACCACUUUCACCAGUCGGUGCAGGAGAUCUUUGAGGUGAACAACUUGCCUGUGGAAUCGUGGCAGUAACUGUCUCCACUCACAGCCUGAAAUUCUCCUGUGUCCCAAACCCCAGGGGGCCCCAGCAGCUUCGAACCUACACCUGAGGGCUACCAGCAGGUGGCGCUCUGGCUUUGCACUGCAAAAACUGGGGACCAGCCCCUUUC
rnacentral:sRNA from 1 species